rnacentral:lncRNA from 1 species
AUGUCUUUUCUCAAAACUUUUUUAUUUCUUGUAUUAUUUUUAUACCUAGGUAGGAUUUUUCUCACCUUUGGAAAAAAUAAAUCUCUUACCAGAGAUAUGAAAAAUUCAGCUGAAUUUAUUUAUGGCCUUGGUAAAGGUCUUUUCAUGCUCUACAAUGACAAUAUUUUUACAAAACCAACAGUAGAUGAUCUAUCUAGGGAUGCCAGCAAGUGCUCUCAAGAGAAAAUGUAUUCUGUUUCAUCCAGGUUCAGGCUAAAUUGCUGGGACAGCUGCUUUCUUUGACCUCCUCUCGACUUUGCUGACCACAUCACCAACUGGCAGGGUGUGGUGCCUUAAGACCUUCCAAGAGACUUGCUUCCAAAUGGAAAUAAUGGAGUAACAUUUUGUAUGAUCAAACAGAGAAUUCCAGUAAUUUUCAGCAUUUUAAG